UAUAUUUUGUGCAAAUUUACAGGAUUACUGGAUGCGGAACCGUAUAAUAGUAGAAUGAAAAGUACGUCGGAAGCUUUUUGUGAAGCUCUCUCUUUCAUGGACGUUAGCUGACAAUCAAACUACUGGAUUGAUGUUGGCCAAUUUGUCAGCCAUGAUGACCCAUGGGUUUAAGAGCAGUAAGCAAGACUUCAUAUUCGGACCAUGGAAAGUGACUGCAGCAAAAACCCACAUUAUGAAGUCUAAGGACAUUGAACGGUUAGGGGAGGAGAUGCACAUGCCCUCACUCCCAGAGAUGCUGUUUGGGGACAACGUUCUACGCAUUCAGCACACAGACGGCUAUGGCAUUGAGUUUAAUGCCAUCGAUGCCCUCAAGAGGGUCAACAACAUGCAGGACUCUGUGAAAGUGGCCUGUGCACAGGAAUGGCAAGAGAGCAGGGCCGAUUCUGAACACUCCAAAGAGGCUGUGAAACACUACGACUGGACAUAUACCACAGACUACAGAGGCACUUUGUUAGGAGAGGACCAGCAGAUGAGGGCGACAGAAACGUUGGAGCGCAUCGACAUGGAGAAGCUGAAGGCGCGAGAACAGAUCAUGUUCUUCGAUGACGUGCUGCUGUUUGAGGACGAGCUUCACGACCACGGCGUGUCCAUGAUCAGCGUCAAAAUAAGAGUGAUGCCCACCAGUUUCUUCCUGCUUCUGCGGUUCUUCCUGCGGGUGGAUGGAGUUCUGAUCCGGAUAAAUGACACGCGGCUCUAUCACGAGGCAAGUGUGACUGGGCUUUCCUGGGAAAUGACAAUCGAUUAACGACUGGAAAGAAUUACAUGAUCAGAGAGUUUAGCACUCGGGAAAGCAAAAUUUCAGAAUUGAAGAACGUCCCUGCUGCUCUGUAUACUGACCCCAACGAGAUCGCCCAGCACUUAACUUUGAAGUUGACCGAGUGCGAGAAGUUGGAGCUCCCUGAGACAGGCCCCCAUCCAGGGGACACAGAGGCCCCUCAGUGAUGGAGAGCAAGCUGGGUCCUGUGAUUGGACAUCAAAUUCUCUCCUGCCUGGACUUAAGAUGAGCGUCUGCCAACCAAGGCAGAGUUCAUCCUCCCUCCGCUCUACAAAUAUAUAUAUUUUUUUUUUACCAAAACACUGCACCUGCCUCCCUCCAUACACAGGAAAAACAACAGUUAAUGGAACUUCAUUUUGGCAUUUUCAAGUGGCCUCUUAUUUUUAGUGUUAUUUCACAUUUCCUCAACGUAAAUAUUUUGGUCGGAAAAUUGUGAUAAUUGCGUCUUUUCUAUUAGAACUCCACAUAAUGGGUUUGUUGAAUUCCACAGAAAGUAGUCUGAUAUUUGAAUGUUGUGCUAUUAUAGAGAUCCAUUCCUCAUGUUAUCAAAAUGUUGAAAGAGCCCAUGUGUAAAUAAAUUCACUUUUUGUAUGUGUUUAAUCUUUUACUGGACAUUGGAUCUUGAUUAGAGGAGAACUCACUGCUGAAGUCGAGGAGCCCCUCUGUUGUGCAUCUCACUUCAAUGACAUCUCCCUACCUUUCCCCCUUUUCAAACUAAGAUUUUGAUCUAGCUAGCUGUUGUAAUAGAACGGUCUCCUUACAGAACCUGCUCAGCUCUGCUUGUUUUAUUGUAUUCAAGAUAAAUGUCAACUAAUAAAAGUCUUUAGCCUUAACAUGCAAACAUUUA